rnacentral:rRNA from 1 species
CAACGCCGCGUGAGUGAAGAAGGUUUUCGGAUCGUAAAACUCUGUUGGUAGAGAAGAACGUUGGUGAGAGUGGAAAGCUCAUCAAGUGACGGUAACUACCCAGAAAGGGACGGCUAACUACGUGCCAGCAGCCGCGGUAAUACGUAGGUCCCGAGCGUUGUCCGGAUUUAUUGGGCGUAAAGCGAGCGCAGGUGGUUUAUUAAGUCUGGUGUAAAAGGCAGUGGCUCAACCAUUGUAUGCAUUGGAAACUGGUAGACUUGAGUGCAGGAGAGGAGAGUGGAAUUCCAUGUGUAGCGGUGAAAUGCGUAGAUAUAUGGAGGAACACCGGUGGCGAAAGCGGCUCUCUGGCCUGUAACUGACACUGAGGCUCGAAAGCGUGGGGAGCAAACAGGAUUAGAUACCCUGGUAGUCCACGCCGUAAACGAUGAGUGCUAGAUGUAGGGAGCUAUAAGUUCUCUGUAUCGCAGCUAACGCAAUAAGCACUCCGCCUGGGGAGUACGACCGCAAGGUUGAAACUCAAAGGAAUUGACGGGGGCCCGCACAAG